rnacentral:lncRNA from 1 species
UUUUUUUUUUUUUUUUUUUGCUUUGGUUUGGGGUGGAAAGGUAAUUGGUUCUGUUUUGUUUGAGUGUUUGCUUGUUUUGAAAUGGUGUUUCCUUUUGUAGGCUUGGUUUUGUGGAACUCGCAGUGUAGACCAAGCUGAUCUAGAACUCACAGAGAUCUGCCUGCUUCUCCCUCUAAUACUGGGAUUAAAGUUGUUCACCACUGCCUGGGCCCAAUUAUGUUUUUUUUCUGUUUGCUUUUUCAAUAGUGGUCAUCUUUUACUCAUGUUUAUAAUUUCAUCUCCUUAUACCUAGGAAAAAUUCAGUACUCAAUAAUUGUUUGUUAGUUGAUUAAAUAUGUGAAUGAUGGUGAUAACUUCUCCCAUCUUGGUGUGUAAAUUCAUUUCAGAAGUGUAUUGCACUUUUACUCUAGUCAGGCACUAAGAACACAGAUGUAAACAAAAUACACUAUGACUAAAACCCAGAGAUGCCAAUAAAUUCCAAUUGGUUACGUAGAUGAAGCCUAGGAAUCAUCUAACUGGAUGAACCAUACAUGCUAAUAGGAAGCUUGACAUGAAGGCAUACAGGAAAAGCUCUCAGUACAAGCUCCAAGGGAAGUGGAGCAAGUAUGACCUAUUGUCUACCCAGAUUAGCUCUGAUCCCUAAGGCCAAGAUUCCUAGAGUAUAUAACUAUCUACCAAGAUUCUCAAGCAUUUAUAUUUGAAUUAACUCUAAGUCAGUUUUUGCUAUCUGUUUUGUGUUUGUGUAACUGUAGGUUGACAUGUGCUAUGAUAUCUGUUUGGAAGUCAAAACCACCUGGGCAUUGGUCCUCCUCACCUUCCAUCUAAUUUGACACAGGUCUCUCAUGUCUUUUCGGUAUACAAGGCUAACUAACAUGCCUGUGAACUUCUGAGAAUAUCCCUGUCUCUGCUUCCAACUUUCCUGUAGGAACACAGGAAUUAAAGAUGGGUGUGCUAGAGUAGAAUUUAGUCUGCUUCUUCUUCCCAGCCCCAUGCUAUGAGAAAUAAGACUCGCACUCAAAAUAUAUCUACAAAUACUUUAACCAUAAAGCUAGACUCUUCUCUGACCAGAUGAUAAGGAAAAUACCCAAAUAUUUUAACCUACAUUCUGUCAUUGGCUAGUUACCUGUGCUUAGGUACCAUGCAGCAAUCUCAUCACAUUUUCCUGGGUGAAUAUUCCACACCUGGCUCUAUCCCAGAGUUCUUUCUGCCUCCCAGAUGUUUCACCUUCUAUUUUACACUUUCCUAUAGGCCAUAGGUUUGGUUUUUUGUUUAAUUAAUAGGUGAUGCUUCCAUACAAUACAUAAGAUAUUCUCUUUACAGUUCCCAGAUUCAUUGUGGGUCCCGAUGACCCAGACUCAGGUUUGUAUAGCAAGCAUCUUAAACUCGGAACCAUCUCUCUAGUCAAUAUGAGUCAAUUUGGUUUGUUUGAUUGUUGUUUAUUUGAAAAAUUAUUGUUUGUUUACCAUACUAUAUAUUCUGAUUAUGGUUUCCACUUCCCAGGUUUUCCCAGAUUUUCCUCACUUCCCUACCCAUCCAAAUCCAUACCCAUUCCUUCUCUAUCUCACUCAGUAGAAUACAAACACAUAACAACAACAACAACAAUAAUAUCAAAUAAAAACAAUUAAGUUAGAAUGGGCCAAAACAAACAGAAGGAGUAAAAAAGAGCC